CCUACGGGUGGCAGCAGUGGGGAAUAUUGCACAAUGGGGGAAACCCUGAUGCAGCGAUGCCGCGUGGAGGAAGAAGGAUUUCGGAUUGUAAAGUUCUUUUAUCAGGGACGAUAAUGACGGUACCUGACGAAAAAGCUCCGGCUAACUACGUGCCAGCAGCCGCGGUAAUACGUAGGGGGCGAGCGUUGUCCGGAAUUACUGGGUGUAAAGGGAGCGUAGGCGGGAGGACAAGUCAGAAGUGAAAACCGGGGGCUCAACCUUCAGACUGCAUUUGAAACUGCUGUUCUGGAGUGAAGGAGAGGUAAGCGGAAUUCCUAGUGUAGCGGUGAAAUGCGUAGAUAUUAGGAGGAACAUCAGUGGCGAAGGCGGCUUACUGGGCUGUUACUGACGCUGAGGCUCGAAAGCGUGGGGAGCAAACAGGAUUAGAUACCCCUGUAGUC
rnacentral:rRNA from 1 species